AGAUGUGAGGGCAAUCUGGCUGUGACAUCUAGUCACCGCAUUCAUCACCAGGGUUGAUGCGGCUGAUCUGGCUGGGUAGAUGGGGAUCCCCUUUCUCCCUCGCCGCUCCAUCUGCAUCCCUCCUGAAGCUGUGCGAACUCUGUCAAAGAGGACGACCUUCCCCCAGUAGAAGAGGACAGAUCUUCAGUCAAGGGUGUACCCGUAGCUGUGCUCCCCCGCUGACACCUCCCAACAAGCUCUCAAGAUAUGGAACAGUUCUAUUGUUCAAAAAAAGUCUCUCUCAUGCUACCUUUGUA
rnacentral:snRNA from 1 species